rnacentral:rRNA from 1 species
GAUGAACGCUGGCGGCGUGCCUAAUACAUGCAAGUCGAGCGAACAGACGAUGAGCUUGCUCCUCUGACGUUAGCGGCGGACGGGUGAGUAACACGUGGAUAACCUGCCUAUAAGACUGGGAUAACUUCGGGAAACCGGAGCUAAUACCGGAUAAUAUAUUGAACCGCAUGGUUCAAUAGUGAAAGACGGUUUUGCUGUCACUUAUAGAUGGAUCCGCGCCGCAUUAGCUAGUUGGUAAGGUAACGGCUUACCAAGGCAACGAUGCGUAGCCGACCUGAGAGGGUGAUCGGCCACACUGGAACUGAGACACGGUCCAGACUCCUACGGGAGGCAGCAGUAGGGAAUCUUCCGCAAUGGGCGAAAGCUUGACGGAGCAACGCCGCGUGAGUGAUGAAGGUCUUCGGAUCGUAAAACUCUGUUAUUAGGGAAGAACAAAUGUGUAAGUAACUAUGCACGUCUUGACGGUACCUAAUCAGAAAGCCACGGCUAACUACGUG